UUGGGUUAUAAACUACAUCCUGUCCUUUUGUUCUGUGGAGAAACACUGAGGCCAGAAUAACAUCAACUGCUAACAUUUGGUGCCGUGACCCAAAAUGAAUUGGUCUAAACAACAAGGAAAACUCAACUGUGUGUUGAUCCACUUUGGGGAGUCAACUCUUAAUCUCCUGAUUGAUGGCAUAAGUGCUGGGGACCUAGGAGGUGCCCGUUUUUAUGGGUGGGGUGUGAUCGCCCCUCUUUGCUCCGUCCAAUGGGUUUUGCUACGCUUACUUCCUGCAGAAGAUUAGUGGGCAGAGCUGGGAGCAUACCUUUGUAGUUGACACCUAAUUUACUGACCGUCAUGUAUCAUUGUUGUGAGUGUUUUACCUUAUUUAUGGAAUAAAUUCAUUUUGUUAGUCCUUUA